GCGUCCAUCGUCUAAUGGAUAGGACAGAAGUCUUCUAAACUUCUGGUAUAGGUUCAAAUCCUAUUGGACGUG
rnacentral:tRNA from 2 species